rnacentral:rRNA from 1 species
CCUACGGGAGGCAGCAGUGGGGAAUAUUGCACAAUGGGGGAAACCCUGAUGCAGCAACGCCGCGGGAGUGAAGAAGUAUUUCGGUAUGUAAAGCUCUAUCAGCAGGGAAGAAGAUGACGGUACCUGAGUAAGAAGCCCCGGCUAACUACGUGCCAGCAGCCGCGGUAAUACGUAGGGGGCAAGCGUUAUCCGGAUUUACUGGGUGGAAAGGGAGCGUAGACGGUGAGACAAGUCUGAAGUGAAAGCCCGGGGCUCAACCCCGGGACGGCUUUGGAAACUGCCUGACUGGAGUGCUGGAGAGGCAAGCGGAAUUCCUAGUGUAGCGGUGAAAUGCGUAGAUAUUAGGAGGAACACCAGUGGCGAAGGCGGCCUGCUGGACGAUGACUGACGUUGAGGCUCGAAAGCGUGGGGAGCAAACAGGAUUAGAUACCCCAGUAGUC